rnacentral:rRNA from 1 species
UACGAGGGGUGCAAGCGUUGCUCGGAAUCAUUGGGCGUAAAGAGCGCGUAGGCGGCCAGAUAAGUCCGGUGUGAAAGUCACAGGCUCAACCUGUGAAUGCCGCUGGAAACUGUCUGGCUAGAGUCCGGAAGGGGCGAGUGGAAUUCCUGGUGUAGCGGUGAAAUGCGCAGAUAUCAGGAGGAACACCGAUGGCGAAGGCAGCUCUCUGGGACGGUACUGACGCUGAGACGCGAAAGCGUGGGGAGCGAACAGG